rnacentral:rRNA from 1 species
UACGUAGGGUGCAAGCGUUAUCCGGAAUUAUUGGGCGUAAAGAGCUCGUAGGCGGUUUGUCGCGUCUGCUGUGAAAACCCGAGGCUCAACCCCGGGCCUGCAUUCGAUACGGGCAGACUAGAGUUCGGUAGGGGAGUCUGGAAUUCCUGGUGUAGCGGUGAAAUGCGCAGAUAUCAGGAGGAACACCGGUGGCGAAGGCGGGUCUCUGGGCAGUAACUGACGCUGAGGAGCGAAAGCGUGGGGAGCGAACAGG